AUGAAGAACGCAGCGAAAUGCGAUAAGUAAUGUGAAUUGCAGAAUUCAGUGAAUCAUCGAAUCUUUGAACGCACAUUGCGCCCCUUGGUAUUCCAUGGGGCAUGCCUGUUCGAGCGUCAUUUGUACCUUCAAGCUUUGCUUGGUGUUGGGUGUUUGUCCCUCGGGACUCGCCUUAAAGUCAUUGGCAGCCAGUGUUUUGGUUUUGAAGCGCAGCACAAGUCGCGAUUCAAGGCUAUCCGCCCGCUUCCACAAGCCUUUUUCACUUUUGACCUCGGAUCAGGUAGGGAUACCCGCUGAACUUAAGCAUAUCAAUAAGCGGAGGA
rnacentral:misc_RNA from 1 species